rnacentral:lncRNA from 1 species
CAUAAUUAGAAAAGUAUCACCAUUUUCCUGGGACAAAAAUAUGUAAGUUUAAACAUUUUUAGUGCCAGGUCAGUAGUCACGAUUUACCAACAGCAUUUUUUAUUUUAAAAAUACAGUUAGUGACUACACCAUUGGCUAACAAACUGAGACUUAAAGCAUUCUCUAGAUGCAAAUGCUACAAAUAAAUCAAAUUAUUAGGCAUAUUCACUAAUACUUACAAACUUAACUUCAUAUAUAAAGCAAGGUAGAUCACCAGUGUGGCCAUGCAAACAGGGUUUGAGGACUUCAAUAUUUAAAGCAAGUUAGUCCAACCCACAGCCCAAGGGCCACAUGCAGCCCAGGAUGGCUUUGAAUGAGGCCCAACACAAAUUAGCAAAUUACUAAACUUACUUAAAAUGAUGGGAUUUUAUUUUUUGCCAUUUUUUGGUUUGUGUGUUUGGUUUUUAGCUCAUCAGCUUUGUUAGUGUUAGUGUAUUUUAUGUGUGGCCCAAGACAAUACUUCCAAUGUGGCCCAGGGAAGCCAAAAGAUUGGACACUCCUGAUUUAAAGGGAAAAGGGAGGGCAGAUGAAGAAAGAGGAUAAAAAAAAGAGAGAGAAGGUAGACAAAACAGGAAAGUGGUUAGUCUUUGGAGGCUUUGAUUAGCACUUACUGAAUCUACAUUUUACAUGUGAAAGGAGUGGGUAGCGAAACAGUGAAUUAUGCAUAGUGCUCAGUGCGUCUGCAUUUUUGCAUAAGAUAAAGUAAACAUAGAGGAGGUGCUCAAAUAUGCAUUCCUCUCAGGUGAGCCAAGGGAUGCCCUCUAGGCCUGUCUUUGUCAAGGUACCGGUGAAGAUAAGCUGUUAGUUUACAUUGUCAAGGUGAAAUAGAACAGCGUUCUGUUUUAGGGUAAAGCUCUUGGGGCCCACGAGGAAUUUCCUUGUGAGCAAUUUGUGAAGGAGGCCACCGGGGGAGACAUGUGGCCUUCUGUCUUUGCAGCUAUCUACUUAGGAACAAAAUGGAAGGCAGUUUUUGCAUGAUGCAGUUACUGAGCUUCACUUUUCCCUUUGGCAUAGUGAGUUUGGGGUCCUGAGAUUUUUAUAUUCCUUUCACAGCCUCACUAUACUUGAAUUAAAAUACAAUCUACAUGUUAAAACUGACCACAUCAUUCUUUCCUGUGUGUCUUCAAAGGAUUUAAGGCCCAUCCAGAUAAUCCAAGAUGAUCUCAUUUCAAAGCCUUAAUUAUAUCUUUGAUGACUCUUUUUCCAAAUAAGGUCUCAAUUAGAGGUUCCUGGAAUAAGACACGGACUCAUCUCCCUGGGGGCCACCAUUCAGCCUGAUCCGGAAGGAAGGCCAUGAUUUCAGCUCUCUGGGAUUUGAGACAAAGAGGCCCCUUUUCUUUCAUUUUAUCUUUUCAUGUCUCUUCUUGCCAUGUACCCACAUGAUUGAGUGUGGGCUGAGGGUGAAUCCAAGAAGGGCUUUGUUUUGUGGUCAGUACAGGCUUUGGUCCACAGAGACAACAAUACUUUCAAUACUCUUUUGUUCUGCCCCAGAGGAGCUCAACACAGAAUUGCCUAGAACAAGAAACUGGUGAGAGAAGCUGCAGCCUGUUGAGACUCCACAAGACUGAAGAUAUGAAAAGAGGAAAUAUGCAUGAAUGCCCGCACGGAGAACCACCCCCACCUGCUGCUCCCGCUCUAAUGAUCACGCCCAUUAUCAACUGGGGGAUGGCUCUGUGCCUUGUCCUUGCAUUACAUGGACCAAGAACACUUCACAGGACUCAGAGAGGCAAAAAUAGAUACAAAAGAAGAAGGAAUUACAGAAGAAGUCACAUAACAUUAUUGCCUACAACUGACUGUUUACCUUGAAUACUUGAAGACCAGAAUGAAGAUUCUUGGGGUGAAGAAUUACAGCCUUAGCAUGGAGCAGGCCUCGGUGCAUCGGCUUUCAGCUAGGCAUGCCUGCCAAUGUUCAACGUCCUCCUGGGAUACGGAAGGCACCGUGAUAGACAUCUGGGCAAGUCAACAGGAAGGUGGAUAUCCAAAUCUCUCUCUUCGCAAUGAGUUUCCAGUUAGAUGGAGGAGAGAGUAAUAAAACACAGAGCUGAGAUUCCUGACUUCACAGAUCCCUGAGGAGAUGUUUACUAAAGGGAAUCUUCUGGUCACUGUUACCUUCCUCCGUACUUACCUGCCUCAUGGAGAACCCGAAAGGAAGAAGCUAUACGACUGGGGACACAUGUCUUAGAAGCACACUCAUUAGAUAAAGUGUCGCAUACUCUUUGAUAAGAGGUUGCUGAAGUCAAAAGCAGCUCACUCCCAGUUCACUGAGCUUGAGUUCCGGCUGCAACUUGGCCUUGAGAUUUUUGAAACGUUGAUAUGGAAGAUAAAGAAAAACGCAGAUUCCUGUCUUCUAAGGAACAAAGGCUGGAAGACAGUUCUGCAGAUUCUGCCUUUGAGGGAUUAGAGGGAUGUGCCCAGGACCAGAUCUUCAGUUAUGCAAAUAUACCUUAGAGACCACAGUAAGAAAGACAUCGCUCUGAAAUGCUCUGGUCCCAAGGAAAAUAUUGCUCUAUAUAAUAAUGGAAAACGUUGUCUGUGUAUCAUGCUGAGCUGCAUUUUAUUUUGUACCCUUGAGAGAGCUUUUAUUUUCUUAUAAAUAAGGAUUGGUCUUGUUCUGGGUCUGAAAACUGUUGUGUAUUUUUGAGAUGUCUAUUUUUCUUUUCAGUUGCCUGUAAGAGAUUGGGAGCCGAGGGCCUGAGGGUGAAGCCUCGUUUGUGCAGGUGACUGUGGGACUCUGGUGUAAGUAACGCUGGGCCCACCCUGGUAAUGAAGGAAGACCCAGGCCCAGGCAGGGGCGGUGUCACAGGCACAGGGGCUCGCACCCUGGGCACUGACGGUGGCUGUCGCACCAGGGCCGCUCCUUGCAGAAACCUCACUGAGCCUGUGCCUGUUGAGUAGCUUCAUGAGGAGCGGAUAUCAGGCAGAGAAAGCCCGGGCAAGAGAGUGACACACGGGGCUUCUGCCCAGAACACGUGCGCCCACAAUCCCGGGAGCUGUACAAAUCCCAAGCGGGGAAGCGGAGGCCUCGACAGUUCAUGAUGCGGACAUGAAUGGGAAUGCGGCCGCUUGCCACACCUCCUUCUUCAUUUGGGGAAAUGCUUGAAGGUUUGUUUUGUGAAUGCUAGGUUAAGGUUUGGAAGUUUAUUUUAAAAAUUGACAUCAUGGCCGGGCGCGGUGGCUCACGCCUGUGAUCCCAGCACUUUGGGAGGCCGAGGCGGGCGGAUCACGAGGUCAGGAGAUCGAGA